rfam:Monosiga brevicollis MX1 MONBRscaffold_3 genomic scaffold, whole genome shotgun sequence.
GGCUGAGUGGCGCAAUCGGAUAGCGCAUCUGACUACGGAUCAGGAGGUUGGGAGUUCGAGUCUCCUCUUAGUCA